UACGUAGGGCGCAAGCGUUUAUCCGGAAUUAUUGGGCGUAAAGAGCUCGUAGGCGGUCUGUCGCGUCGGCUGUGAAAGCCCGGGGCUCAACCCCGGGUCUGCAGUCGAUACGGGCAGGCUAGAGUGCGGUAGGGGAGACUGGAAUUCCUGGUGUAGCGGUGAAAUGCGCAGAUAUCAGGAGGAACACCGGUGGCGAAGGCGGGUCUCUGGGCCGUAACUGACGCUGAGGAGCGAAAGCGUGGGGAGCGAACAGG
rnacentral:rRNA from 1 species